UUAAGAAACUUACGGCUCAGAGUAAUCAAC
rnacentral:piRNA from 1 species